rnacentral:rRNA from 1 species
GACGAACGCUGGCGGCGUGCUUAACACAUGCAAGUCGAACGGCAAGGCCCUACUUUUGUGCGGUGCUCGAGGGCCGAACGGGUGCGUAACACGUGAGUAACCUGCCCUUGACUUUGGGGUAACUUCAGGAAACUGGGGCUAAUACCGGAUAGGAGCUCCUGCUGCAUGGUGGGGGUUGGAAAGUUUCGGCGGUUGGGGAUGGACGCGCGGCUUAUCAGCUUGUUGGUGGGGUAGUGGCUUACCCAGGCUUUGGCGGGUCGCCGGCCUGAGAGGGGGACCGGCGACAAUGGUCCUGAGAGACGGAGCAGAGUGCUACGGGAGGCAGCAGGGGGGAACAUGGCACAACGGGCGGAAGUCUGAGGCAGCAACGCUGCGGGUGGGAUGACGGCCUUCGGGGUGUAAACCGCUUUAGCCUGUGACGAAGCGGGAGUGACGGUAAUGGGUAAAGAAGCACCGGCUAACUACGUG